GCUGGAAUUGCUAGUAAUCACAGGUCAGCAUACUGUGGUGAAUACGUUCCCGGGCCUUGUACACACCGCCCGUCACACCAUGAGAGUUGAGAAUACCCGAAGCCCAUGUCAAAGUGGUCGAAGGUAGGCUUGAUGAUUGGGGUGAAGUCGUAACAAGGUAAC
rnacentral:rRNA from 1 species